rnacentral:pre_miRNA from 1 species
AGUGGGAUAGCUGGGACUAAUGGUGGUUCCAUUUCCCAGUUUUCUGAGGAAUCUCCAUACUGCUUUCCAAAGCAGUUGCACCAAUUUGCAGUCCCACCAGCAAU